UAAUCCAGACAUUUUGUAUUCUUUUACACUAUGUGUCUUGAUGCAGAAAGUGUGUAUUUCUUUCUUUGUUAUGUGUUUAAAGGUCUAUGCAGUGGAGGGGAGGAAGAGGCAAUGCCUUUAAUAUGAGUCUACCUGGGGAAAGAGUAGAGUUCCCUGCCUCUAAAAUGAGUGUCUUUGGUGACCAUGACAUGAAGACAUGGAGCCCAAUCCUCCUGGAGAAACCAGCCUCCCCUGUACCCAGCUGUGUGUCCAUGAAGAGUGACAGGUCUAUGACUCAACCUAUUCAGUUCACUGAUGAAAGGUACAGUAUGUUUAGCUCUAGGACAUAUAGAGCACAUUGCAAAAGUAUUCAGCCCCUUGAUUGAUUCUCUCGUAUUACUGAAUUACAAAUGGUGUAUUGAAAUAUUUUAUGUUGGGAGAUAUUUGACAGGGAAAAAUAGAAACCUGUUGCUUGCACAGGUAUUCAAUGCCCACACUAAUUCAAUUCAACUGACAAUUGCCUGGUUCCGCACCUUAUUUUACAAAUAAUUUCUUGAUACCGAGGCUUGGUGUUAAAGAGCAAAUUGUGGAUGUGAAUCCCAUAUGGAGUAGAAAUGUUGUAAAAUACCUGAGACUGUGUCCCUGCAUACAGCUGUGUCAGUCCUGAGAUUCAAUGAAGGGAAAGUCUGUCGGCUCUGAAUAACAGGCUGAGAUUUUAUAGAAAGGACAAGAACUGAAACUCAUUGGUCAAUAAAUACAGUUCAACACAUAUAACACUCAUUGGUGGAUUAGUCUUGUAGUGAAGAAGAGCCUUUCAUUUUGAAAGCAUGUGUUUUAAAGAGGUCCUGUGUAGAUUUCUGCCUCUAACAUUCACAGUACUGAAUAAAAGCCACCAUUUGUUUCCCCCCGUCCUUACCUUCCCAACGAGAGCAGAAGGGAACAUGAGUGGGUUUAGGGGGUGAGGAGACUACGAGUCAAUGCACACCGGCAACAAGGUUUGGAUGGGGAAUAUCUUAUGUUUAGGGUCAAAACAUUUUCUUAAAACUUUAAAAACAAGAUUGAAGUUAAAGUUAUGUCGACAGUACGCCUCCACAGCCACAUGGGGGCGUUAUACUAACUGAGCACUAUGUAGGGCAAGCUUACCGACAUCAGACAUAACUGUUAUUCGUAUAAACCACACAACAACUGUGUUCUAGUUUAACACUGUUUACUUUGUAUUUCCAAUAGUAUAGCCUUCAUCUCCAUUACAGUUUUCUCUGUAUUCAACUAAUAUCUCUGCACCCUCGAGACCCCAUAUAAAAGAGUACAGUAAUGACAUGAGCAAGGGGCAAUUAAAAACAUGACCUUAAAACUAUCCACCAUAUGUUGAACACAUUUAUCUCCCCUGUGCUCUAUGCUACACCAGAAACCUUUCUAAAUUAUAUUUUCCAUAAUAUUUUCAUUAACAAGACUGAAAGAACACACGUGUCAACCAUUUUGAAUUGAACCUCAGUGUCUUGUGAAGCUUGGACGCUGCCAUUGGAUGUGAUGCAACUGAGUGUAGCUGCUGUCUUAUUUCAAAGGAGGCAUUCCUUAAUGUUUGGCGCAGAACUCUCAAUGUCUGUAUUGUAACUUAUAGAUAACCAUUCUAUACAGACGUGAGUGUAUGAACCGAGAAUUGAACUACACGCUGUCCUCCUUGAAGCAGUCACCCCUGACUAAUUCGUUUUGCUGAUGAGUUGUCACUACUGGCAACAUGAGGCGGUACCUGCAGCCCAUUCAGGUUGCACAGGUAGUCCAGCUCCUCCAGGAUGACACAUCCAAACAUGCCGUCGCAAGAAGGUUUGCUGUGUCUCCCAGUACAGUCUCAAGAACAUGGAGGAGAUACCAGGAGACGGGCCAUUACACGAGGAGAGCUGGACAGAGCCCUCAAUCUGUCGGUGAUUUUAGUUGCCAUUGACCGUUGACUGUCACCGUUAUCAAGUGCAUGACUGGCCUUAUUCAGAGCUUCUGACAGCACAUAUUGAUUAUUUUAAUCACUAUUGUCAAGUAGAGAGUUUUGAUGGACAAGGAAUUUAUAAAGAAUACUUAGAUUUUGUAAGCCCACUGUCACUUGUUGAGCUGACCAUAACUGCAUCUUAGAAGACUGAGCUACUACAGCUGACCAGCGAUACUACAUUGUUCUCUGUGUCUUUAUCCUCUAUUGUGG
ensembl:lncRNA